rnacentral:rRNA from 1 species
CACGUAGGGUGCGAGCGUUGUCCGGAAUUAUUGGGCGUAAAGAGCUCGUAGGCGGUGUGUCGCGUCGGCCGUGAAAACCUGCAGCUUAACUGUGGGCUUGCGGUCGAUACGGGCAUCACUGGAGUUCGGCAGGGGAGACUGGAAUUCCUGGUGUAGCGGUGAAAUGCGCAGAUAUCAGGAGGGAACACCCGGUGGGCGAAGG